GAUGAACGCUGGCGGCGUGCCUAAUACAUGCAAGUCGAGCGAAUGGAUUAAGAGCUUGCUCUUAUGAAGUUAGCGGCGGACGGGUGAGUAACACGUGGGUAACCUGCCCAUAAGACUGGGAUAACUACGGGAAACCGGGGCUAAUACCGGAUAACAUUUUGAACCGCAUGGUUCGAACUUGAAAGGCGGCUUCGGCUGUCACUUAUGGAUGGACCCGGGUCGCAUUAGCUAGUUGGUGAGGUAACGGCUCACCAAGGCAACGAUGCGUAGCCGACCUGAGAGGGUGAUCGGCCACACUGGGACUGAGACACGGCCCAGACUCCUACGGGAGGCAGCAGUAGGGAAUCUUCCGCAAUGGACGAAAGUCUGACGGAGCAACGCCGCGUGAGUGAUGAAGGCUUUCGGGUCGUGAAACUCUGUUGUUAGGGAAGAACAAGUGCUAGUUGAAUAAGCUGGCACCUUGACGGUACCUAACCAGAAAGCCACGGCUAACUACGUGCCAGCCGCCGCAGUAA
rnacentral:rRNA from 1 species